UAAGUGCAGAAGUAUGUACAUCUUAUGAUGACAUAUUAGAUGAAAUAACAACGUUUGAUUGUUCUUCUGGAUGUUGUGAAGAUUCGUGCUGUGAUGAUUAUUGGUCAGAUUCAUCUGUUGCUGCAAUAGCGAUAACGGUAAUAAUUGGCACUACAGUGUUUAUAGCUAUUAUGGUUGGUGUAUGUUGUCGUUGUACACGAAGCAACAGAAUAACAAGAAGAGUUAUAAGACAUGAUAUGAUUCCUUUUAUCAGCGCAGAAAACUCUAGUGGAAUCUGUGACCAGUUGGCUGUCCCGUUUACUGUAUUUCCAACUCCAGUACAACCACCAUCAUAUGAACAGGCAGUUCAAUCCAGCGGUGGGACUAAUUCACAAGAAGAGCAGAAAUAUUGAUAUAUCGUAAUUUAUACAAUGAAUUGUAUAGGAUAGUAUUAUUGUUUAACAAUAACGUGAAAUUUAUUUCGUAACCGGAUGGCAUGAAAUAAUAUUGUUAAAAAUAAUUACGGAAUUUGCCAAUUUUGUCAUUACACAAAAUAACAAAUUUUACAAACCAACCUGUAACGAAUCGUAUAUGUAUUUCAAAAACUGUUGUAAUGAUAAUCUUUGAAAAAAUAUUUUACAAAAAUACACUGUAAACAUGGUGUUUUGAACCAAGACACAAUUCUAAACACAUCUUUUGUGCACUUUUUACACGUUUUGGUCUAAACAUGUCUCAUUUCUAAACAUGUUUAGGUCGACAAUGUGUUAACGAUUGUGUUUAGGAUCGUGUUUAGCUUAGAAAUUAGUGUUUUAUUCCUAAACACUUUAAUUCUAAAUCACAUUUAAAAGUGUUUAAAUUCAAGACAUGUGUACAUUUAAUGUGCUUACUAAGAAAAUGUGUUUAGAUAUCAAACACAAUCCUAAACAAGUUUAGAACAAAAUAUGUAAUAUAAGUGUUUAUUUUCUAAGCACGAUUUUUACAGUGUACCAUACAUGGUGCCUGAUUCUAAAUUGUAUUAAAAAAAUGAAGCAAGAUACAAUAAUCUCAUUCUAUUGUGAAACUGUACGGAUCCUUCAUCUGAACCCCAGUCAAUUGUAAAUUGUAAGUGUAUACAAUACUCAUCAUACGUUUAU